rnacentral:rRNA from 1 species
UACAGAGGUCUCAAGCGUUGGUCGGAGUCAUUGGGCGUAAAGGGUGCGUAGGCGGCGCGGUAAGUCGGGUGUGAAAUCUCGGAGCUUAACUCCGAAACUGCAUUCGAUACUGCCGUGCUUGAGGACUGGAGAGGAGACUGGAAUUUACGGUGUAGCGGUGAAAUGCGUAGAUAUCGUAAGGAAGACCAGUGGCGAAGGCGGGUCUCUGGACAGUUCCUGACGCUGAGGCACGAAGGUCAGGGGAGCAAACGGG